AUGCCAGCAACUGGGACUUCCUGUGGAAUGCAAGGGCAGUGGGGCCUCCGCGAGAGAGAGAGAGAGAGAGAGAGAGAGAAGAGAGAGAUAUUAAGGAUGAAUCCCAGUGUCUGCUCUGAGCAAAUUGGAAGACGAUGGCAUCAGGGGCACUGCUCUGGGCUAUAUAGACUGUGCCUCCACUAAAGGGUCCCUGAGACCAGGUGUGGGCCCGUAUCCCUGGAGGGAGAGGUACAGAAUGUGCCAGACCCAUCUGUACCAGCCUGGAUCUCUUGAGGCAUCAGCACAAUGGACCUGGCCACACCAGUUUAUUCCUAAUUUUAUUUUAAGUUCCAGGCUACAUGUGCAGGAUGUACAGGUUUGUUACAUAGGUAAAAACAUGGUGGUUUGCUGCAACUGUCAACCCAUCACCUAGAUAUUAAGCCCAGCAUGCAUUAGCUAUUUAUCCUGAUGCUCUCCCCACCCCUGCCCCAACAGGCCCCACUGUAUGUUGUUCCCCUCUUUUUUGUUCACUUAAAAGAUCCCACUUUUAAGUGAGAGUAUGCAGUGUUUGGUUUUCUGUUCCUGUGUUACUUUGCUGAGGAUAAUGGCCUCCAGCUCCAUCCAUGUCCCUGCAAAGUACAUGAUCUCAUUCCUUUUUAUGUCUGCAUAGUAUUCCAUGGUAUAUAUGUACCAUAUUUUCCUUAUCUAGUCUAUCAUUUAUGGGCAUUUGGGUUGAUUCCAUGUCUUUGCUACUGUGAAUAGUGCUGCAAUGAACAUAUGCUUGCAUGUAUCAUUAUUUUUUUAUUUUUUUUGAGAUGGAGUCUUACUCCCUCACCCAGGCUGGAGUGCAAUGGUGCAAUCUCUGCUCACUGCAACCUCCUCCUCCCGGGUUCAAGCAAUUCUCGUGCCUCAGCCUCCCGAGUAGCUGGGACUACAGGUGCCUGCCACCACACCCGGCUAAUUUUUUUGUUUUUUUGUAUUUUUAGUAGAGACGGGGUUUUACCAUGUUGUUCAGGCUGGUCUCGAACUCCUAUCCUCAGAUGAUCCACCCUCCUGAGCUUCCCAAAGUGCUGGGAUUACAGGCAUGAGCAACCACACCCAGCCACAUGUAUCUUUAUAAUAUAAUGAUUUAUUCCUUUGGGUACACACCCAGCAAUGGGAUUGCUAGGUCAAAUGCUAUUUCUGGUUCUAGGUCUUUGAGGAAUCACCACACUGUCUUCCACAAUGGUUGUACUAAUUUACAUUUGCUGGUGCUGUUUUCUACAUUGAAUCUGAGGGCUACUGUAUGAUGUGUAAGACACUUUCUGAUUGGAGCCUCACAAUGAUCCUACCAGAGCAUGCAGUCCAUUUGGAAACAUGCAUGUGGGAAAGUGGGGAGGGACCCUGUCAAGCAUCUAAGAGGAGUGGUGGCAUUUGCUGUGUCCACCUCCAUCCUUCCCACUCACUACUCAGCACCUAUAGCCUUGUCGCUCUCCCCAACACUCUGCUGAGACUGUUGUCACCAAAAACACUAUUGUCCGGCUCCCUGUUGAAAGGACCGACUCUCAGGAGAUGAAGAUCCAAUCACUCUAUCAAAGAAUAUGAGCAUUUCCGAGGCUCUUGUAAGACAUCCAGCCUCCAGAACUGUGAGUACUAUGCUGAAGAGAGCCCUCAUCAGCACCUGACCAACCUGACCAUGCUGCACCCUCAUCUUAGACGUUCAGCCUCCAGAACUGUGAAUACUAUGCUGAAGAGAGCCCUCACCAGCACCUGACCAUGCUGCACCCUCAUCUCAGAUGUCCAGCCUCCAGAACUGUAAUCCAAGAGCCAAAUCAUGAAUGAACUACCAUUCACAACUGCCACAAAAGAAUAAAAUAUGUAGGAAUACAUCUAACAGGGGAAGUGAAGGACCUUUUCGAGAAGAACUACAAACCACUGCUCAGAGAAAUCUGGGAUGACACAAACAAGUGGGAAAGCAUUCCAUGCUCAUGGAUAGGAAGAAUCAAUAUCAUGAAAAUGGCCAUAUUGCCCAAAGCGAUUUAUAGAUUCAAUGCUGUUCCCAUUAAACUACUAUUGAGAUUCUUCAUAGAAUUAGAAAAAACUUUUAAAAUUCAUAUGGGGCUGGGUGCAGCGGCUCACGCUUGUAAUCCCAGCACUUUGGAAGGCCGAGUUGGGAGGAUCACUUGAGUUCAGGGGUUCAAGACCAGCCUGGCCAACAUGGUGAAACCCCCAUCUCCACUGAAAAUACAAAAAUUAGCUGGGCAUGAUGGUUGGCAUCUGUAAUCCCAGCUACUCGGGAGACUGAGACAUGAGAAUCACUUGAACCUGGGAGGUGGAGGUUGCAGUGAGCCAGGAGCACACCACUGCACUCCAGCCUGGGUGACAGAGAGUCAGUCUCAAAAAAAAAAAAAAAAAUCAUAUGGAACUGAAAAAGAGCCUGAAUAGCCAAGACAAUCCUAAGAAAACAAACAAACAAACAAACAAACAAACCAAAGCUGGAGGCCUCUCCAAAUUAUACCACAAGACUACAGUAACUAAAAAAGCAUGGUACUGGUACAAGAACAGACACAGAGACCAAUGGAACAGAAUAGGGAACCCAGAAAUAAAACUGCACACCUACAAUCAUCUGAUCUUCAGCCAAGUCAACAAUAACAAGCAAUGGAAAAAGGAUUCCCUAUUUAAUAAACCAUGCUGGGAGAACUGGCUAGUCAUAUGGAAAAAAUGGAAACUUCUUUACAUUAUGUGCAAAAAUCACCUCAAGAUGGAUUAAAGACUUAAAUGUAAAACCCAAAACUAUAAAAACCCCAGACAAAAAUCUAGGCAAUACCAUUCAGGACAUAGGCAUGGGCAAAGACUUCAUGACAAAGAUGUCAAAAGCAAUAGCAUUUGACCCAACGAUGCCAUUACUGGGUAUAUACCCAAAGGAAUACAAAUCAUUCUAUUAUAAAGAUACAUGCACAUGUAUGUUCACUGCAGCACUAUUCACAAUAGCAAAGACAUGGAAUCAACUUAAAUGCCCGUCAAUAAUAGAUGGGAUAAAGAAAAUGUGGUACAUAUACACCAUGGAAUACUAUGCAGACAUAAAAAGGAAUGAGAUCAUGUCGUUUGCAGGGACAUGGAUGGAGCUAGAAGCCAUUAUCCUCAGAAAACUAACACAGGAACAGAAAACCAAAUACCACAUGUUCUCACUUAUAAGUGGGAGCUGAAUGAUGAGAACACAUGGACACGUGGUGCGGGAACAAUACACCUGGGGCCUGUUGGAGGGUGGGGGCUGGGAGGAGGGAGAGCAUCAAGAAUAGCUAAUGAGGCCAGGCACAGUGGCUCACGCCUGUAAUCCUAGCAUUUUGGGAGGCUGAGGCGGGCAGAUCAUUUGAGGUCAGGAGUUUGAGACCAGCCUGGCCAAUAUGGUGAAACCCCGUCUCUAUUAAAAAUACAAAAAUAUUAGCCAGGCAUGGUGGCAAUGCCCGUAGUCCCUGCAACUUGGGAGGCUGAGGCAGGAGAAUCGUUUGAACCUGGGAGGUGGAGUUUGCAGUGAGCCAAGAUCGCGCCACUGCACUCCAGCCUGGGCGACAGAGUGAGGCUCCAUUAAAAAAAAAAAAAAAAAAAGAAGAGCAAAUGAAUGCUGGGCAUAAUAUCUAGAUGAUGGGAUGAUCUGUGCAGCAAACCACUAUGGCACAUGUUUACCUAUGUAACAAACCUGCACAUCCUCCACAUGUACCCCUGAACUUAAGAGUUGGAAAUCAAAAAGAAAAAAGGUAUUAACUCAAAAUAAAAACAGUGUGUACUAUUUUUCUAAUCAGCAAAUGUUAUUUUAUUUUUUACUAUUAUUUUUAGAGUCGAUAUCUUGCUCUGUCACACAGUCUGGAGUGCAGUGGCAUGAUUAGCUUUGAAUUCCUGUUCAAGUGAUCCUCCCACCUCAGUCUCCAGAGUAGCUAGGGCUACAGGCAGUGCUGCCACACCUGGAUAAUUUUUAAAUUUUUUAUAGAGUUGGGGUCUUGCUAUGUUGCCCAGGCUUGUCUCAGACUCCUGGCCUUAAGUGAUCCUCCUGCCUCUGUCUUCUGAGUCGCUGGAUUACAGGUAUGAGCCACCAUGCUCAGCAGAAAAUUAAAUUUUUUUUUAACAAGUCAUUAGUUCCUGGGAAUUCUAUUUCACUUCCAAAUCCACCUCAUUUUGCAGUGCCCUGUUCUUAGUAGUCCUGGUUUAGGAAGAGUCGUGUUUCACAUGAUCAAGGUAGCCAACACAAUGAAAGUUGAGUUCACAGAGUAUUUAUUUAUUUUGGUCCCUCACAGAGUAUCUAUUUAUUUUUGGUCCCUCACAGAGUAUUUGUUUAUUUUUGUUCCCUCAAAUAAUUCAGCACAAUUAAAUUCAGCAAAUAUUUAUUGAACACUUGGAGAUGAUGAUGGAAAAUUAUGUUCACAUGGUGCCAUUUGGUACAACGGAAAUGGCAUGAGAUUUGGACCAAACCAGAAUUGUCUUAAAUCCUGGCUUUGUUAGUUUUAGGUAUGUCAUCUUGAGCAGUUCACUUCACUUUUUGAGCCACAAUUUCUCUUCCUUACAUAAAGAUAUUUAUAAAUACCCCACAGGUUGUUAUAAUAAAGGUUGAAGAUGCUUGGCACAUAAGCAAAAAUUAUGAAUAAAUAUGUAUUAAAAUAUAAAAUAACUACAAAAUAAAAUAAAAAUAUUGUUUUUCUCACCACAUGUCAGUAUCUUUACACAUAUAAUCUAAUUUUAUCCUUACAGGAUUGCUAGCCUGGUGUG
rnacentral:lncRNA from 1 species